GAUGAACGCUGGCGGCGUGCCUAAUACAUGCAAGUCGAGCGAACAGACGAGGAGUUUGCUCCUCUGACGUUAGCGGCGGACGGGUGAGUAACACGUGGAUAACCUACCUAUAAGACUGGGAUAACUUCGGGAAACCGGAUCUAAUCCCGGAUAAUAUAUUUAACCGCAUGGUUCAAUAGUGAAAGAUGGUUUUGCUGUCACUUAUAGAUGGAUCCGGCCCGCAUUAGCUAGUUGGUAAGGUAACGGCUUACCAAGGCAGCGAUGCGUAGCCGACCUGAGAGAGUGAUCGGCCACACUGGAACGGAGACACGGUCCAGACUCCUACGGGAGGCAGCAGUAGGGAAUCUUCCGCAAUGGGCGAAAGCCUGACGGAGCAACGCCGCGUGAGUGAUGAAGGUCUUCGGAUCGUAAAACUCUGUUAUUAGGGAAGAACAAAUGUGUAAGUAACUAUGCACGUCUUGACGGUACCUAAACAGAAAGCCACGGCUAACUACGUG
rnacentral:rRNA from 1 species